GGGAGCUGCAAGGGGUUGGUAGGAGGCUCCUGGUCCUGGGCAUGACCUGAAACUGCACCCUGUCAGGAGUGGGUGGUCUGGUGGGGCUCUCAGUGGCGCGGGAGCCCCCAGGAAAUGCCAGGCCAGUUACUACCCUGGUGAAAGGCGGGUCGGGGCGCCUUAACCCCUAGCUCCCACCACCACCGGGUGGGUGACCCCUGAGUGCUAUGAGGGCCGAGAGGGCCAGUGUUGCGAGGGGCCCAGAGAGGGCGGACCCUGAGAGUGGCAGUGAUGUGGGCGAGGUGCUGCAGUGGCUCCUAGGAGGAAGGGAGUAGUGGCACAGUGAGGCCCAGAGUUAGUGAGUGGCUAGAGAGACCCAGCCCGAAGGGGAGAGUCCACUCGACUGGCCCGUGCUGGGGCCAGGACCAGUGAGGGUCAAAAGGGCCGGGGGCCCACUGUGAGGGACGCCCAAGAGCUGGGGGCCUGGGGUCCCGACUGGCCUUGAGGUGGGCCAGGGCCAGGGAGCCGAAGGUUCUGGGGGAACCACACCUGAGAGGGGAACAAGGCUUCGGGGGGGUGAGGUAGCCCAGUUGAUGGCGGAGUGGCCGCCUGAGUAGCGAAGAUCAUAGUGGGGUCUUACAUGGAAGAUUCUGGGGCCCAGUGUGGGGCCGGUGAGGAAGAACACCGUGAUGCCAUCUGCGAGGCUUGGGCUGCGGUAUUAGGGGAGGUUGGAGCCGCAGAGCGCCCCUUGGCAUCGGGGCAUUACAAUGGGUAGCCUCCCGCUUAAUUAACAUCUCAAUUGAACUCAUUAUCAUCAAAGGCGUGGCGGGCGAGAUAGGCGGGCGGUUGCCCAGAGACAGGUGGGCGGGCCAUGGAGAGCUCUGCCCUGAGUAGGCCUGAUGUCACGGUGACGGGCAGGCGGGCCACAGAGUUUGGACCCAGGAGACCCCCUGUCACAAUGUUUUUAAGAAAUCAGCUGUACAAGUGUCUGCAUGCAUGCACUAAAUCAGCUAGCUUGGUACUGGAAACAGUCUCGUUUCAGCAGACAUGUCACUCAAGUGCAAAGGUAUUUAUACUGCUAGAGCCUCAGUAACAGGACAAUCAUUCAGAGAGGUGUCUAACAUCUAUUGUAGAUAUCUACUGAAGUCAUUCCUUUGGGAUCUGAUAAUUUGAAUGAAUCAGAUGGCAAAAAUCUUCCAUAUGACCAGUUCUAGAGGAACUGUAAAGCUGAUGUUUUGUGCAAAUCUACAGUAAAAGGAUAAAUGCUAUUUCUUGUUAUUUUCACAGGAAAAGUGUGUGGGCGAUUUGUGUCAUUUCUUGAAAAUGCACCAAGAAAGCAAGUAGGAGAGGAUCGUGGAAGGUUUUACAUAAAGCAAAGCAGAGAGAAAGAGAGGCUGGGGGGAGGUGAUCAAGUAGUCUUAAUAUUAAUACUGUGUUCUUAUUCUAAUACAGCUGAUCAGUGUUAAAACAACAUGGCUCUUUCCAUGAACUUUUUAUCUGUUAUGAUGGUGACCAUUUUGGCUCUUUACUUCACAGUUGUUUCUAUGCAGAAAUGUGGGACUUUGUAUUUAGAGCAGAAUCCUUUGAAUACAGGCCCAUAAACUUCAUAACAAGAAGGUGCUGUGUCAAAAACUUUGAACCUGUUGACUUCAGUGGGGUUAUACUGACUUACAUCCACAGAGGGUUUGGCUCAGGUUCUUAAAAAUAAAUAAAUAACUACAUCUAUUGUAUGACUUCAUUUUUGUUAUCUCAUUAUCUAGUAUUUCAUCUAAAAUUACAAAAUAGUCUAUGCUAUUAUGCAGCUUCUCUUCACUAAAGUGUUCAUUUUAAAAAUAGUAGAGUUCAGGAGGAAAGUGGGUAUUGCUGUCGUACCAUUUACAAAAUGCGGAUUGCUUUAUUCUCUAGAGUAACAUGAAUUUAUGCAAAGGACUUUCCUCUCUAAAAGCAUUUUAAUUUCUGUGACAAAUGCUUACAUACAUUUUUCUCUUGGAUGUCAGCUACUAUAAUUGAGAAGAGCAUGGGGUUUACAGUUAUAAAGUCUGCAUAUUUCAAUCUAAAGUACUUCUCUUGAGGCUUGUACUAGAGUUUAGGUUCAUAUUUGUGAAGCACUUCACAGGUAACAAGCUGCCAUUCCUAUCCUUUGAAGAAGUUAAUAAUACAGCUACUCUAGAAACUUGGUGUGAAAUACAAACCUUUAAGAAAUACACCAAAUAGUCACAGAAGAAACUGAAAUCUUUUACUUUGAAUAACAUAUGUAUACUUUUUUCAUGUUGACAGCACUAUUCUAACUUGUUUAUCCCUUCUGCCCACUUCCAUAACACUUUAAGAAAAGUACCAAAAUGACAUUAAGUCCAGACAAGUAUAAGUUAAAGGGGUUGUUAUCUCUGGGGUAAAGUUCUUCUACCUGGUGCCCAAGGUCUCUCAGUAGAAGUCUUUUCACACACACACAGCCCAUGCUAUCCAUGAGCUAUAGCGAGCAUCUCUAAGGAUUCAGAUUUCUUCUAAAAGAUUCACAUGGUUCAUGCUGGCUGGAGAAGUAUUAUUCCCUCCAGUGCAUUAAGGUCAUACAGUAGACCUGCAGCAGAGUAAAACGCUUCACAGAAAUAUGCAAAGUUAUUGAAUUAUAUCUUUUACAUAAAUCUUGUCUAAUGAUUUAUUAUUUUGCCAAGAAUGACAUAUUAGAACUUUGUCUACAUAUAUUUGAUGCUCACUGCACUCAUUUUACACUCAUUAUAAAAUGCCUUCUCACUGCAAGCUAUGAUAAUAAAGUCAGAAAGCAUUGAAAAAUACAGUGUAGAUUAUGUAGGAAGUUUAAUGACUCUCAGAGUGACUGUGGAUUUUGGCUUCAGAGCAAAGGUCCUCUGCUCUAAGUGGAUUUAUAUAUUAGUAAGUUGUCACCUCAGUUCCUGGUAUAUAUGACUGCAAACCUCUCCUCAGGAUUUAUAGGACUGUACCAGGAGGAGUACUAUGGGCUUUGGAUGAGCAGGAAGAAUUGAGUGAUGGGCCAGUCCAACCCUCAUAAGCAAUGGGAAGCUGCAGGUUCCAUAAGAAUCACAAAAGAAUAAGAGGCAAUGGAGGCAAGGAAGUUGUGGGACUGCUGGUGGUGGAUGUCCUCUGCUUGUGGCUUGUAUUGCCUGGGUAAGUUCUGAACAUACUGCAGGGAGGAGCAGACUGAGAGCAGCCUCAAACUCUGAAGGCUUACCUUUUGGAGCUUGGGUUGACUCCCAGGCUCAAGAGUCUGCUGUUUGAUUGGUGGAGCCCAUCCACCAAUCUGGAGGCAGCAAGAGGAGUGAAGCCAAUCCUGAGGGAAGGGGGAGAGGAGCUCCACAAACCUGAUUGUAGACUGCAAUGCUGUCAAGUCCGGAAGACUUCAGGGGUGAAGCCCUGACAAAUAUAUAAAGAGCAGCAUGCCUGGCACAAGGGGAGAUGCAGUGAGGGACUUAAGAAGAGUGGAGCCAAGAAAAGCUAAGGAGCUCCUCCCCAGCAGGCAAUAGGCCCCAGGCUUCUGAAGCUGCCACUAGAGGAGCAGCCUUGGGAGCGGUGCAAAACCAUUUGGGCUGUUGACGGCACAUGGGGUCAGUGUACAGAGACAUGGCCCUGGGAGCAGUGUGAGACUGGUCGGGCCCAUGUAGGUGCGCAUUUCAGCUCAUGGAGCCCAGGCUUUGGGAACCACAAGUCACGGCUUGAGUCUGCAACCCCAGAGGACCAGUGGGUCACCCACUGCACACAGUGUUGCAUGGUAUCCCAAACCCUGGAGCAGUGCCAGGCCGCUUAGGUUUGCAACCACUUUCCCAGCAUGAGGCUGAGGACCCAGAGGCACCAGCUGGGUGCAACAGGAGCCUAGAGUUCUGGGUUUCGGGACCUGCAUGCAGCAGCCUGAGCCCCAGUGAAAGGGCAGAAGGCAAGGUCCAGGUUUCAGAGCCUGCACUAGGCGGCCUGAGCCCCAGUGGACGGCAGAAGGUGAGAGUGGGCAUUAGGACCCGCUCGAGGAGGUCCAGGCCCUGACAGAGGACCGGAAGGGUAGGGACCAGGGCGGCACAACAGAGUACCUGUGACUUCAGGAGAUCCCUCCUAGGUGGAUCAUUGGGCUUGUGAGUACCUGGGGAAUGGGUGCCCCCUUUUUCCCUCCAAUGGGAACAGGGGAGGUGCCAGGUUCUCCACCCUGAGGGAAUGCUGAAGGGUCUCGCCCAAUAGAGCGUGUGGAAAAGGGAGGGAAGACUUGUGCCUCCUGUGGAACCAGUUAUAUUUAGAGACAGUUUUUAGUGUGUGUGUGUGUGUGUGUGUGUGUGUGUGUGCGCACACACACACACACACCAGUGUUGUAAUGCUAUUAAGAUGAUUUGGGCUGGCUUGUUUAGUUGAUGUGUGAAUGUAUUGAUAGAUACUUGUGUUCAUUUGUUUAAAUGUUAAGUGUAUUUAUCUGUGGUUAUCGUGUAUAUGCGUUUCUUUUAUGAUCCUUAUCAAUUUGUAAAAAUUCUUAUUGUAUUGUAUAUUAAUAGCUAUUUUAUUAUUGGGUAAACAAUAAUAAAUCUAUAUAUA